rnacentral:rRNA from 1 species
UACGUAGGGUGCAGGCGUUGUCCGGAAUUAUUGGGCGUAAGGAGCUUGUAGGCGGUUUGUCGCGUCUGCUGUGAAAUUUCGGGGCUCAACCCCGAACUUGCAGUGGGUACGGGCAGACUAGAGUGUGGUAGGGGAGACUGGAAUUCCUGGUGUAGCGGUGAAAUGCGCAGAUAUCAGGAGGAACACCGGUGGCGAAGGCGGGUCUCUGGGCAAUAACUGACGCUGAGGAGCGAAAGCGUGGGGAGCGAACAGG